CAGUCGCCACGGUAAUACGAAGGGUGCAAGCGUUAAUCGGAAUUACUGGGCGUAAAGCGUGCGUAGGCGGUUUGUUAAGUCUGUUGUGAAAUCCCCGGGCUCAACCUGGGAAUGGCAAUGGAUACUGGCAAGCUAGAGUGUGUCAGAGGAUGGUGGAAUUCCCGGUGUAGCGGUGAAAUGCGUAGAGAUCGGGAGGAACAUCAGUGGCGAAGGCGGCCAUCUGGGACAACACUGACGCUGAGGCACGAAAGCGUGGGGAGCAAACAGGAUUAGAUACCCCUGUAGUCCCUGUCUCUUAUAC
rnacentral:rRNA from 1 species